UGUACAGCUGGAUGGCUUGGGGAACAAAGGAGAUCAGCAGUCUGUUGGUCCUACAUUUGGGGAGGAGCAGACGAAAAAGAAUGUAUGGUGAAGGAUCUUUUUCCGGGGGGAUCAUCAAAAUAAGUGGUCCUCCUAAUUGUCAAUCGUUCUGGUGAUAUGUCAGGCCGUCCUAAGUGCUCGUCUCCAUUUUCACUUACCCGUGCUGUUUGCCUGACCUGUCUUCUGACUCCUGGCGGAUCUCUGCCUGUCUGUUAACCGAACCUGGAACUGUUACCCGACUCCGUUCUGGAUUCUCCUUCGGCACCUCACUGGAUCUCUGACCUUCCAACUCUGAAAACCACCACUUCACUGACAAUGGCUUUGGCUUUACCUCUUUUGAUAUUUCUGCCUAUCUUCAUCUGGUCGGAUCUGAUCUCCUAUCUGUCCUCCAACCUUUUCUCCUCCUGCAGAUGUUCCUGCCUUAGACGCCGACCCUGUUCACUUCGGUUCAGUUAUGAGAAAUCUAACCAUUUGUCCGCCUUGAAUACUGGAUUCUACUUUUCUGCGCCUUGAUAGCUAUUAUAAAUCAGUUAAAUAAAAGUCCACACUGAAGUGAUCAUCAGAAUUUUUACUGUUUUUGAUGACACAAAAGCAUACCAAGAAUAUCAGAUCAGUUGUAUUAUAUGAUUUAGCAUUUUUCAUAAUUACUCUUUUUGUAGCUUCUAACUGCAGGGGAUCUUAUACUGUGUACAUGCAAAAUGAACCACUCAGAAUCUGUUGUUUGCUUUUUUUCCUAAACUUAAUAAUCACUUGAAAAGUUGUUGUUUAAAACCAAACCUGACAGAGACAUUUGUUGGUUAUAUUAAGCCGUGUUUGGACUUUGGAAAUUUUUUAAUUGUGUAAUUUACCUUGAAAAAAUAAA